rnacentral:tRNA from 1 species
GACCCUAUCGUCUAGGGGUUCAGGACACCACCCUUUCACGGUGGUAACACGGGUUCGAAUCCCGUUAGGGUCGCCA